rnacentral:rRNA from 1 species
UUUUACGGGAGGCAGCAGUAGGGAAUCUUCCACAAUGGACGAAAGUCUGAUGGAGCAACGCCGCGUGAGUGAUGAAGGNUUUCGGCUCGUAAAACUCUGUUGUUGGAGAAGAACGGGUGUCAGAGUAACUGUUGACAUCGUGACGGNUCCAACCAAAAGCC